rnacentral:misc_RNA from 1 species
CUGAGCGAGGGCUCACGCCCAACCUCCAACCCAUUGUGAACACAUCUUGUUGCUUCGGGGGCGACCCUGCCGACAGACCUCGUCGCCGGGCGCCCCCGGAGGUCACCAAACACUGCCUCUUUGCGUCGGAGUUUAAAUCAAUUUAAACA